rnacentral:rRNA from 1 species
GACGAACGCUGGCGGCGUGCUUAACACAUGCAAGUCGAACGGAAAGGCCCUGCUUUUGUGGGGUGCUCGAGUGGCGAACGGGUGAGUAACACGUGAGUAACCUGCCCUUGACUUUGGGAUAACUUCAGGAAACUGGGGCUAAUACCGGAUAGGAGCUCCUGCUGCAUGGUGGGGGUUGGAAAGUUUCGGCGGUUGGGGAUGGACUCGCGGCUUAUCAGCUUGUUGGUGGGGUAGUGGCUUACCCAGGCUUUGACGGGUAGCCGGCCUGAGAGGGUGACCGGCCACAUUGGGACUGAGAUACGGCCCAGACUCCUACGGGAGGCAGCAGUGGGGAAUAUUGCACAAUGGGCGGAAGCCUGAUGCAGCGACGCCGCGUGCGGGAUGACGGCCUUCGGGUUGUAAACCGCUUUCGCCUGUGACGAAGCGUGAGUGACGGUAAUGGGUAAAGAAGCACCGGCUAACUACGUGCCAGCAGCCGCGGUGAUACGUAGGGUGCGAGCGUUGUCCGGAUUUAUUGGGCGUAAAGGGCUCGUAGGUGGUUGAUCGCGUCGGAAGUGUAAUCUUGGGGCUUAACCCUGAGCGUGCUUUCGAUACGGGUUGACUUGAGGAAGGUAGGGGAGAAUGGAAUUCCUGGUGGAGCGGUGGAAUGCGCAGAUAUCAGGAGGAACACCAGUGGCGAAGGCGGUUCUCUGGGCCUUUCCUGACGCUGAGGAGCGAAAGCGUGGGGAGCGAACAGGCUUAGAUACCCUGGUAGUCCACGCUGUAAACGGUGGGUACUAGGUGUGGGGUCCAUUCCACGGGUUCCGUGCCGUAGCUAACGCUUUAAGUACCCCGCCUGGGGAGUACGGCCGCAAGGCUAAAACUCAAAGGAAUUGACGGGGCCCCGCACAAGCGGCGGAGCAUGCGGAUUAAUUCGAUGCAACGCGUAGAACCUUACCUGGGUUUGACAUGGAUCGGGAGUGCUCAGAGAUGGGUGUGCCUCUUUUGGGGUCGGUUCACAGGUGGUGCAUGCCUGUCGUCAGCUCGUGUCGUGAGAUGUUGGGUUAAGUCCCGCAACGAGCGCAACCCUUGUUCACUGUUGCCAGCACGUUAUGGUGGGGACUCAGUGGAGACCGCCGGGGUCAACUCGGAGGAAGGUGGGGAUGACGUCAAGUCAUCAUGCCCCUUAUGUCCAGGGCUUCACGCAUGCUACAAUGGCUGGUACAGAGAGUGGCGAGCCUGUGAGGGUGAGCGAAUCUCGGAAAGCCGGUCUCAGUUCGGAUUGGGGUCUGCAACUCGACCUCAUGAAGUCGGAGUCGCUAGUAAUCGCAGAUCAGCAACGCUGCGGUGAAUACGUUCCCGGG